rnacentral:lncRNA from 1 species
AAAAAAUCAAGACAAUGAUUGAUCAAUACUGAUCAGUUACAUUUUAAAACUUUUAAUAAUCUGUACAUGAGUGCAGGUUAGAUAAAAGUCUGCAAAUUAUUAAUAGAAAACUGCAGUACUAUCAUCGGAUGAACAUGUCUGCUGACAAUUCUACCAGGUAAUUAAGGAGGUAAUUUCCUACACAGUAUAGGUGAAUUGUCCAGUCUUUAAACACAUCUGGAGUCAUCUCCACUGAGUGACAUGGAGAAUAACCUGAUGUGGGUAAAUGGAAGAGCAGCAGAUAGCCUCUCCAGGGCAGUUUCAGCGGGAGAGAACAUUUAAAGGAACAAUAAAAUAGGUUUUAAAAGUUGCUUUUGAUGAGCACUGCUUUCCAAAAUGCAAUAAUGAUUUUUUUUAAUGUAGAAAGAGAAGCUGUGUUAAGAACAGACAUCCAAUGAGUGCACUGCUUCUGUGGCUCCAAAGGUGACUGGGAAAAGAGAAGGCCCCAGGAGAGCCCUCAGGCCACACACAAGCCCAGGCCAUCCCGCCCAGCCCAGCGAGCACACUGGCCUCAUAACAAUGCUUGGGAACUCCUCUAAAACUUGCCUAGGCCCAAGAAAACAGAGAGGUAGCAAUCACCCCUGUGAGAGGGCUAGAGAGGAGGGGAGGAAGUAGGUAGGGGACAGGCUAGGGGCAUCAAGCUCAGAACAGGGGAAUUCUGGAGGCCGCAGAGCUGCGUGCUGCCGGGAAGCACUGGCCACGCCAGGCCAUUCUGCUCUCACGAGGCGCUGCUCCUCACCAAAUUCUACAAAAAGCUAAGUCCGUCUAUACUUCUAGGAACCCAGUUUUGCAGACGCUCUUCCUCCGGACUGUCCCUGACUUUUGAUAAUUUUGAGUCCCCAGAAAGCUUCAAGAGCACCUAAAAAUAUUCACUUCCAAUUUUAAUUCCAUCGCAAACCGUCCCAGUGUACUUUCAGGGCUAUUUAAGGCUCUUAGGUUAAGGGGAUCUCUCCAUCUGACACACAGUUUCAUGUUCCAUAGCAACAAGGUCUUCUAUAACAACGACUCUAAGUCAGAAUUCCAGAAGAUUCUGGUUGUUUGUGGUUUCAGUUGGGGGUGAGGGGAAGAGUCCACUCUCAUUCAUAGCAGGAAGAACUUUCCAUCCCUCAGACCCAGAGACUUCCUGGAUGCUAGAGACAGUCCUCAUAAGUGUAACACUGCCCUUGCUAUGCACACCAUCCCAAGUCAUUUGGUUAUUACAAGGAAUGCCUCUUCACCAAAUCACAAGUUUUCUAUGACUAAUUUCAGUGAACCAGUUAAAUAGAAAGAUUUUUAGAAAGAGCCACAGUGAUAGCAAUUCUAGGUGGAAACUUGAGCAGGCAACAUGAAGAGGCAGUUUAUAAAAUGAAAAAGGGCUGUGGUUCCAGUGACACCCUUUCUUUUCUUGGACGAAACACCAGGAGGCUCAUUCACCGUGAGGGAGACAGUACUCACAAGAGCUGUGGCGCCUACGUUUACUUGUUCUGAUGGGAUGAAAAGCCAAACUAAGAAGGGAUCAGAUAGAAGCACGAUUUUCACAACUACCUGGAUUAUUAUUAAUGGAGGGGAUGGCCUUAAAAGGGGUAAGGGGAAGAAGAGGUGCCCUGAGAAUUCAAUGCUUUAUGCAUGGCACAGUUUGAAUAUUUAUAUUGUCUCAGCUCAAAAUAGCAAAAGGAAUGUUCCUCCUCCCACCCAAAUCUUAUUGAAGAGUAGUCUGCCCACAGCCAAGUGGGUCUUUGUGCCUAUUCAUUUCCAGGGACAGAAAACCACUGUUUUUCUGUGAUCCAGUCCCCAGUGUUUAAAAGCUGGCCUGACCCCACCCGACAGUGCCUGGCGGGGAAAGAGUUGCUUGUUUGGCUGAGAACACGGCAUCUUCCGUCUCUCAUGAUGCCGGUCAAUUUUAUACUUUCUUCCAAGAAAGUACACCAAAAUGGAGGCACUGCCUUUCAAUUACUUUUUGCAUUAAAGACUUUUAACUUGUUUAUUCCAACCGCUUUUAUUUCUUCCAGUUUUGUGAAAAAGGCAGCUUCUUAAAAUGGAGUUGCCUACUAAUCUGGCGCACGCCUUGUGGCUUAGGAGGGCAUUUGUUUCCCACUGCCUGUCGACAUCUCAGCCCUCCAUGCUCCCGGCACAGGCAAAAAUGGCUUAACAAUCAUUAAACCACCCACUUCUUAUGGAAGGAACUGAGUUCACGACGCUACACUUUCAGGUCAGUAACAACUUUCAGAAAGCAAACAAAACCAAAAUAAGAGUCAGAAAAACCACUUCCAAUCUGGAGGGCUCCUCGCCCGAUGCUGCUGCUGCUGCGCUCUUCAAGGAGAAGCGUUUGAAUCGAUCAUUUCGUUUUCAGAGAUCCCAACAGAGCACUGAGUCAAAGAUCCAGACCAG